AGAGUUUGAUCCUGGCUCAGGAUGAACGCUGGCGGCGUGCUUAACACAUGCAAGUCGAACGAUGAUCCCAGCUUGCUGGGGGAUUAGUGGCGAACGGGUGAGUAACACGUGAGUAACCUGCCCUUAACUCUGGGAUAAGCCUGGGAAACUGGGUCUAAUACCGGAUAUGACUCCUCAUCGCAUGGUGGGGGGUGGAAAGCUUUAUUGUGGUUUUGGAUGGACUCGCGGCCUAUCAGCUUGUUGGUGAGGUAAUGGCUCACCAAGGCGACGACGGGUAGCCGGCCUGAGAGGGUGACCGGCCACACUGGGACUGAGACACGGCCCAGACUCCUACGGGAGGCAGCAGUGGGGAAUAUUGCACAAUGGGCGAAAGCCUGAUGCAGCGACGCCGCGUGAGGGAUGACGGCCUUCGGGUUGUAAACCUCUUUCAGUAGGGAAGAAGCGAAAGUGACGGUACCUGCAGAAGAAGCGCCGGCUAACUACGUGCCAGCAGCCGCGGUAAUACGUAGGGCGCAAGCGUCAUCCGGAAUUAUUGGGCGUAAAGAGCUCGUAGGCGGUUUGUCGCGUCUGCCGUGAAAGUCCGGGGCUCAACUCCGGAUCUGCGGUGGGUACGGGCAGACUAGAGUGAUGUAGGGGAGACUGGAAUUCCUGGUGUAGCGGUGAAAUGCGCAGAUAUCAGGAGGAACACCGAUGGCGAAGGCAGGUCUCUGGGCAUUAACUGACGCUGAGGAGCGAAAGCAUGGGGAGCGAACAGGAUUAGAUACCCCGGUAGUCC
rnacentral:rRNA from 1 species